UGUUGGGAAUCUUCCAGCUGAGCAACCGCGUGGCCUGCGAUUCCGGAUCUGUUCAGAGUUUAAACAUUUGCAAAAUGAAAUGCAGCGCUUUGAUUGAUAAUGACAUCAGGGAUGACAUCGCAUGCCUUAAGACACUGCUGGACAGCGAAAGGAUUGGCACUAUUUCAGCCUUCGCUUCUCCGCCCAAGCAGCAGUUUAUUCUUGCUUUGACCGGGUGCCGCAACGUCAAUCCUGCGCAGUACUUCGCUGGGUGUCCCUAAAACAUUCAGUGUUUCUUCAGCGAACCUGAAAAAUGAUCUCA